rnacentral:lncRNA from 1 species
UUUUUUUUUAAUUUUGAGUCUACUAAAUGAGGCCUUAGUCGCUAAAACAUCCGGCCCUAGGGCCGGAUAAUAAACGACGGGCGAAGAACUUCAUUACCCUUCGGUUCUUCCCCUAAAGGGGAACCCCUGUCAUCCCCUGUCCCCCUUUGUUCCCCUUUAGGGGAUGGGCAUCAUCGUCCCCUAAAGAGGAACCAAAGUCCCUACUUGUUCUUUAUUUUAAUGAUGACAACCCUUCGGUUCCCCUUUUUGUUACCCAUCCCCUAAAGUUCUUCAUCCCCUAAAGUUCCCCUUUAGGGGAAGAACUAAAGGGGAACUUUAGUUCCCCUUUAGGGGAAGAACUAAAGGGGAACUUUAGUUCCCCUUUANGGGACGAUGACUUUGGUUCAUCCCCUAAAGGGGAACCAAAGUCUUCCCCUAAAGGGGAAGAACACUAAAGGGGUUCCCCUUUAGGGGAACCCCUUGGGAUCCCCUAAAGGGAACCCCUAAAGUUCUUCCCCUAAAGGGUUGUCCCCUUUAGUUCUUCCCCGAAGGGGAACCCCUUCGUCUCCCCUUUGGGGAACACUNNN